rnacentral:rRNA from 1 species
GGGUAGUUUGACUGGGGCGGUCUCCUCCCAAAGAGUAACGGAGGAGCACGAAGGUUGGCUAAUCCUGGUCGGACAUCAGGAGGUUAGUGCAAUGGCAUAAGCCAGCUUAACUGCGAGACGGACAGGUCGAGCAGGUACGAAAGUAGGUCAUAGUGAUCCGGUGGUUCUGAAUGGAAGGGCCAUCGCUCAACGGAUAAAAGGUACUCCGGGGAUAACAGGCUGAUACCGCCCAAGAGUUCAUAUCGACGGCGGUGUUUGGCACCUCGAUGUCGGCUCAUCACAUCCUGGGGCUGAAGUCGGUCCCAAGGGUAUGGCUGUUCGCCAUUUAAAGUGGUACGCGAGCUGGGUUCAGAACGUCGUGAGACAGUUCGGUCCCUAUCUGCCGUGGGCGUUGGAUGAUUGAAGGGAGUUGCUCCUAGUACGAGAGGACCGGAGUGAACGAACCUCUGGUGUUCGGGUUGUCACGCCAGUGGCACUGCCCGGUAGCUAAGUUCGGAAUCGAUAACCGCUGAAAGCAUCUAAGCGGGAAGCGAGCCCUGAGAUGAGUCAUCCCUGACCCCUUGAGGGUCCUAAAGGGCCGUUGGAGACCACAACGUUGAUAGGUGGGGUGUGUAAG